rnacentral:rRNA from 1 species
GACGAACGCUGGCGGCGUGCUUAACACAUGCAAGUCGAACGAAGAGCGAUGGAAGCUUGCUUCUAUCAAUCUUAGUGGCGAACGGGUGAGUAACGCGUAAUCAACCUGCCCUUCAGAGGGGGACAACAGUUGGAAACGACUGCUAAUACCGCAUACGAUCUAAUCUCGGCAUCGAGGAAAGAUGAAAGGUGGCCUCUAUUUAUAAGCUAUCACUGAAGGAGGGGAUUGCGUCUGAUUAGCUAGUUGGAGGGGUAACGGCCCACCAAGGCGAUGAUCAGUAGCCGGUCUGAGAGGAUGAACGGCCACAGUGGGACUGAGACACGGCCCAGACUCCUACGGGAGGCAGCAGUGGGGAAUCUUCCGCAAUGGACGAAAGUCUGACGGAGCAACGCCGCGUGAGUGAUGACGGCCUUCGGGUUGUAAAGCUCGGUUAAUCGGGACGAAAGGCCUUCUUGCGAACAGUUAGAAGGAUUGACGGUACCGGAAUAGAAAGCCACGGCUAACUACGUG